rnacentral:tRNA from 1 species
GCCCGAAUGGCGGAAUUGGUAGACGCGCUACAUUCAGGGUGUAGUAUUCAAACGGAUGUGCAAGUUCGAGUCUUGUUUCGGGCA